CGAAGCGGCGGAUUCACCGCAUCCGGACAGAGCGGCCGGACGUGCGGCUCCCCUCCUUUGUUGAGGGAGUCUGUCCUCGGCGGCGGGGGCAGGAGAGUGCGGAGGUCGGGGUGGCCCCAGAGAGAGGAGCCGGCGUCGGCAGCAGCAGCGGGGGGCUCUGCCCGGCGCGGCCAGGAAUAGCCAGACUAGAAAAAAGCACAAGAUCUUUGCAACUGUCUUUUCUAUUAACCACAGGAAUACAAAGCUGAAAAGUAAUAAAGUUUUCUUCUUGUUUGCAGAUCAGUAAGGCAUUCAGUUUGAACCAUUCAGUGUAAAUAAAUAUUGCUACAAUUUUAAUACGGAAAAACUUGAGUGGUGGUGCAGUGGAGUUUGCAAGAAUGGGGUUUACAACAAAGCUUGUUGUAAACAACCAUUGAAAGAUGGAUAAAGUGUGUUUACACAAUAAAUCAAGCUCUUCCUAUCCUCAGAGUAUUUCUAUGUAAUAAAAAAUACUUUUUGGUCAAGCAUUUCUUUAGGUGGAUGCAGAUACACUGAGAGUGUUUUUACUGACAUUUCCCUGAUGACAAUAGAUGCAACAGAGAACAUGUUUUUUUUCCCACUGAAACCAAGAACAGCUUAUCAGGUGUCCAGCUGCAGAUGUAUGAUGACAAACAUUUUCAAUGCUCCAUUCAUCAACAUUUAAAAAUGUUGCAGCUCUGCCACCGUGUACAUGUUUAUAUAGAAAAGUCCUUCAAAAUACAAAGCUAAAUUUUUAUUAUCUGAAAUGGAGUACAGAAUGGAUUGCUUUGCUUGCUGAGGCUUUUGCAUUAGGUUUUUAAAAGAUGGCCCUGAUAUCAGCUGUGUUACUCACAACCAAAGGGGUUUAUAUGCUAGGAUAGUCUGAAAUACUCUUGUAGCACUUGCUGCACCCAUGUUUUGCUCAGCUUUUGUGUCCUGGUAAAUGAGAUUUUGGAGAUCAGUAAAUAAACCAUCAGCAGAUAAUGGAUCUGGGGAUCAGUAGAUAAAUCAUCACAGGUCAUGGCGCAGGUUUUGCCACAGUAGGAAAUGUGGGCAGUACCUCCUGUCCCGGAUACACUCAGAACUCCCACUGAAAUCAACAUGAGUUUGGGAAGCAAUGAAGACAUUGCCAAGGCCUGAAUAGUGCUUGUAGGCUGAGAUGAGAGGUUGUUCCAGACAAUUGUUCUAAAGUUUCUGUUGUCGGCUUUAGUAGAGGCAAUAUUUUUCUCUGAGUAAUUCACACUCAUUUACAGCUAUUUUCAGGUAUUAAAUGUCAGCUUUUCAUAAGAAAGGCAAAACUGACUUGUCUGCUUGAUGCCAAAUAACAUAAUUUACCUAAAUUACAGUUAUUAUAUUUGUAAUUUUAAAAAAACCCUUCUUUUGUUAUGUCUACAAAGCUGAAAUAUUUUAACACAAAUUUUCUUUUUCCACAGAGUGAAAAGCUGCCAUUUGGAUAAAGCCUAUGAACAGCAUCCAUUCAAAGGGAUGCACCAGGGGAAUUACGGUUCAGGCAAACUAUAGGCUGACUGAAUUUUUAAACUUCUGGAGCCAGCUGUAUCCCUCAAAAGAAGGGCAAAAGAACUAGGUCUGCAUCUGAUGCAAACUACACUAUCUUUAUUACUGUCAGGUGAAAUGCAGUGAUAGAUGCAAGUUUAAGAUUUGACUGCAUGAGGCUGCCUUACCAUCACACAGUCCACAUGCAUGGUAAGCACCUCACAUCUUUUUGUGUAAAGCUGGGUUCUGGGACCAAUGAAUUCCUACUUAUGUGACUUAAUUGGUGUUUCAGUUUUUAUAAAAGUAUUUUUUGCCAUGUUAAUUUUUCCCUUUCAGUAAGGUCAUAGUACAAACAAUAACUUUCUAGGAAGUAAUUGUCUCUCCUUUCAGUUUUUCAUCAGAAGUUUGUUUGCUAAAUCAACCUGAUUUACUAAUUAACAUCCGGGUCUUAUGUGCACGCUAUGCACACACAAUAAUUCCACAAUUAUAUUAUAUUAGCUAUUUAAGGGCUCAUCUAAUUUUACUCUAUACAUAACCCUUGAAAAUGAGAUCUGCAUAAAGUAAUUUAAAAUAGACAGGGCAAACUAGAAGUAUAUAAUUAUGUAUCCCUCUGAAAUAAAUACAUUUUCAGUUUUCAAUUUCCAUAGCUGACUUCAUUGGAACAUAAUUUAGCCUCUGAAUAUAUGAAUUAAUUAAA